rnacentral:tRNA from 1 species
GGGUAGGUGGCGGAAAGGUAGACGCGCUGGCCUCAGGAGCCAGUGGGCAAGACGCCUGUGGGGGUUCAAAUCCCCCCCUGCCCACCA